rnacentral:rRNA from 1 species
UACAGAGGUGGCAAGCGUUGUUCGGAAUUACUGGACGUAAAGGGCGCGUAGGCGGCCAUCUAAGUCAGACGUGAAAUCCCCCGGCUUAACCUGGGAACUGCGUCUGAUACUGGACGGCUUGAGUAUGGGAGAGGGAUGUAGAAUUCCAGGUGUAGCGGUGAAAUGCGUAGAUAUCUGGAGGAAUACCGGUGGCGAAGGCGGCAUCCUGGACCAUUACUGACGCUGAGGCGCGAAAGCUAGGGGAGCAAACGGG